UUGACCUCGGAUCAGGUAGGGAUACCCGCUGAACUUAAGCAUAUCAAUAAGACAGAGGA
rnacentral:rRNA from 1 species